rfam:Schistosoma rodhaini strain Burundi genome assembly, scaffold: SROB_scaffold0005403
AUUCAGCUGACGAGCCCCAAACAGGACGAAACAUGUGUCCUGGAU